rnacentral:misc_RNA from 1 species
GUAAUUUCAGAAAGAAUGGCGGAGGUUAAUAAAUUUGUAUCAGAUUUGGAAGAUUUUGAGACAGAGAAAGAGAAAGCUGAUCGUUUUGCAGGGAACACAUGUACUGUGUAUGUUCAGGAAAAUGAUGUAAAAGUUGAAAUCACAGAAAUUAAAGGAGAAAUUAUCUAUGAAGAGGAUCCUUUACAAUCUAGCCCGAAGAGAUACCAUGAGAGUAUACAAGAAGUGAGAUAUCCAUGCAACCAAUGCGAAUACUCGGCAAUACAGCGAGAAACUCUAAAGAGACACAUGGAGAAUAAGCAUUCUGGAGUAAGAUAUCCCUGUAAUCAAUGUGAAUACAUUGCACCUACUGCUGGAAGUCUCAAAGUGCACACCAACCGAAAACACGACGGAGUAAGAUAUCCAUGUAACCAAUGUGAAUACUCGGCUACUACACAAGACCUUCUCAGAAAACAUAUUUGUACCAAGCAUGAAAAAGUAAGAUAUCCAUGUAAUAGAUGUGAAUAUACUGCAACAACUGUAGGAAAUCUGAAGGUGCACAUGCAAAGUGUUCAUGAAGGCUUGAGGUUUCCAUGUAAUCAAUGUGUUUAUACUGGAGCAAGAGCUAUUGAUCUGAAGAUGCACAUCAAGAGUAAACAUGAAUUAGUAAGAUAUCCAUGUACUCAGUGCAAAUUUACUUCAACAACAAACAGUAGUUUAAGGAAGCACAUGAGGAGUAUGCAUGAAGGAUGCAAGCAUCCAUGUAAUGUAUGUACAUACGUCGCAAAUAGACCACACAAUUUAAAGAUACACAUAAGACGUAAGCAUAAAACCAUCGAUCUUAAAAGCGAUCAUUAGAUCAGAUUAUAUUAUCUUUUUAAAAGCGAUCAUUAUAUNAUCAGAUUAUAUUAUCUCAUAAAAGUGAUCAUUAUAUCAGAUUGUAUUAUCUCUUAAAAGUGAUCAUUAUAUCAGAUUAUAUUAUCUCAUAUAGCAAGUUAACUUUUUCGCUGUGUCUAAAAAUAUGUGAAAUUGCCAAAUGCUCUGUUUUCAAACUUUUCAUGUAAACUCUCGUUCCUAUAGUUACAAGUUUCAGAAAAAAUGUGAUAAUUAUGACUUCUUCCAAAAUUUAAGUGUAAAAUCUUUAUUUUUUAACUUUUGAUAUUUUUAAAUUGAAGUUCACUGUCGACAUAUUAUUGUUUUCUCGAAGUAUUAUCAUUAUGAUUAAAAUGUCAAACAGAUAUUUUCUGUUUUACUCUCAACUUUUAGACAGUCAUGUAAUUAAAUUUUCUCAUGGUAAUAAUUGUUUUUUAAUUUACCAUUAUCAUUAGUGUUACUUUUGUGUGUUAUCUCACAUUAUUUUGAAUGAAAAACAAUAUUUCCUGAAAAAUUUUUUCUCUCCAUUUUCUUAUUCACAGUCAAAGAAUGAAAUUGUUUUUUUUUCUCUCGGAGUUGUACCAUUCAAAAUUAUUAUUGUGUGUUAUGAGUAUUUUUUUUACUUACUUUUAAUAUUUUGUUGAAUGAUAAUAUGAGUUAGCAUAGAUGAAAUGUAAAUAUUGGAUAUGGAAUAUCAUCGGAAGAGGUUAAGAUGGUUUCAGUUACAAUCAAGGAAGAAAUCUUUACUGUAGAAGAAAAAGAUAAAUCUACUAUUCAUGUAAAGGAAGAAGAUACAAAGAUGGAAAAUGUUUCCAUUAAAGAGGAAACCUCUACUGUAGAAGAUAUGUGCACUGUUAAUAUAAAGGAAGAAGAUAUCAACAUGGAAAAUGUUGCCAUUAAAGAGGAAACCUCUACUGUAGAAGAUAUGUGUACUGUUAAUAUAAAGGAAGAAGAUACCAAGAUAGAAAAUGUUGCUAUUAAAGAGGAAACCUCUACUGUAGAAGAUAUGUGUACUGUUAAUAUAAAGGAAGAAGAUACCGAGAUAGAAAAUGUUGCUAGUAAAGAGGAAACCUCUACUGUAGAAUAUAUGUGUACUGUUAAUAUAAAGGAAGAAGAUACCAAGAUGGAAAAUGUUGUUAGUAAAGAGGAAACCUCUACAAUAGAAGAUAUGUGUACUGUUAAUAUAAAGGAAGAAGAUACCAAGAUGGUAAAUGUUGCUAGUAAAGACGAAAUAUCUACUGUAGAAGAAAUGUUUAUUGUUUAUAUAAAGGAAGAAGACGUGAAACUGGAAAGUACAGAUAUAAAAGGUGAAUUGAUAUUUGAAGAUCCGCUACAAUCCGGGACCAAGAUGAGGAAACAUGAAGGAGUCAGGUAUCCGUGUUCUCAGCGAAAUAAUCUGCAAAACGCGAAAAUAAGCUUAAAAGACGCGCAAAGAGUAUGCAUGAGGUAUCCAUGUAAUCAGUGUGAAUAUUCUGCAACACAAGAAGGACAUAUAGAGAGACGCAUACAGAGCAUACAUGAGGUAGUAAGAUAUCCAUGAUCUCCGUGUAAAUACUCUGCAACAACCGCAGGAAAUCUUGAAAUACACACACAGAGUAUCCGCGUAGGGAGUGAGGUAUCCAUGCGACCAGUGUGGACACUCACACAGAAAAUAAAUUCCUUUGCAUUGUAAUUCUCAGCCAUAUUAUAAACUUUUGUUCUCAAAGUUAAAAUUAUUACUAUUAUGUGAUGCAUCUGAAUAAAUUUUAAAUUAGAA